GAGCUGAAGGGUGAUAGUGCGUCUCCCCAGCCACACACUGGCACCCUUCUCGCAGGCUGACCCAGGGAGGGGCCCGUUGAGUACCCCAGGUCCUGAAUCUCCAGUUUACUGGAAGGCUGUUUCCUCAGGCUUCUGUACCCCCAGUACCAUUCUUCCCUCGCUCCAUGGUACCAUUCUUCCCUCGUACCAUCCUGUCCUCCCCGGGUCCCCAUCUUGCAAGGGGUGCUGCCCAGGCAGUGCUGGUCCAUCCCAGAAGCAGCCAGGACUUGGUCUGGGAGAGGCCCAGUACCGGAGCUGCUCCAGCCCACAGCUUUAUCCCUUCUCUGGUCAAGGCCCUUGGUGAAUCUGCAAACCCUUUGGAUCCCUUUCUCCAAAAAUGCAUAUACACACACAAUUUCUGAUACUUUUAGGAAUUCUGGGACCCCAGGUUAAGAACCCCUAAUUCACCUGGGUCCUGGGGCCAGGCUUGCUGCUGACAAGGCAGGGCAAUGUGCUCCCUACCUGGCCAGGGUGAGGUAGGCAAUGCCAUCCUCCUGGCCUAUUUGUUGGGUUUCUUCCCCUUUCUGUGCCCUCCCCAGCUCUGCUAUCCAGUUUCACCGACUUCCACGAGCUCCAUCUUCUCUCCCCUCGUGUGGACGAGAGUAAGACUCCUCAGACACAGUAAUGCACGGUGACUCAGACUUUAAUGGUGGUACUCAUUUCAACGCCACAGAGGUGCUGGCAGCUGUGGAACACGGCACGGGGGAGUGAGACGGUGCUCAGGUGCAGCUGCAGGAAGAACGAACGAGGGGGGAAACGGGCUGGGGAGAGAGGGACAGGGGAGGAGCCCCGGGCACACAGCCCCACCUCUGGACCGAGCCAGGCUGUGGUUAAGGCUUGGCACGCACACAGGAACCCUCAUCGAGGCCCCUUUCUGGGACCCUUCCCGUUCCAGCGAGACCCCCACCCCAGGCCAUCUCAGAAUCUACAGUCACAUGAAAUACAGACACAUGGUCCCGUCCAGUCAGGCCAGUUUCUGGCCCUGGAGUUAUGAGGAAGUGAAUCAUUAAUAGGAUGAAUGAAAAUUAAAUAAAUGAAUAAAUAAUAUAUCAGCGCCUUAGGCCAGGCCUGAGCACGCAGCCAGCACUCCCCUCCACUCAGCACUGCGCGGUUCCUGCCUCAUAGGCAACCUGGAAACGAACAGACCCGGCGCAACGCACACAUGACACGUGGCCCCUCUACACACCGCAACAACCAACCCUGACGCUCCAGCACAGACCCUGAUCGGUCUUCCGUGGAUGCCCUUACAUCCUCAGUCCAUGGCCAGUUUUUGAGGAGGGAGAAGAGAAAGGAAGGAGGAGUGGAGAGUGUAGAACCCAGAGUGGGCGAGAGCGGAGACAGCAGGGGCUGGACCAGCCAAGGAGCAGCGCAGCAGGUCAGCCGGGGUGUCUGGGGUGAAAUUUCGAGCAGGACCGGAAAGAAGAGGUUCCAGGAGGACGGGCGAGGGGUUCCAAGUCUCCAGGCAGGUAGAGGGAUCACAGCACGCUGGGAUUGCGGAAAUUAUGUCCAGCGAAGCGAGCUUCGUCCCCCAGCUCUUCUUCGAUUCUGAGAGAGCACUUGUGGCCAAGACUGGGCUGGGAGCACUGGUGAGAGGCAUCCUGCAGAAACGGGCUGAGUCAGGGACGCGAGGCACUCACGCUUGGAUGGCUUCGGUGACCGAACCGAUCUGGUUGACCUUCAGCAGCAGACAGUUGCAGGCCUUCUCCUCCACGGCCCGCUCGAUUCGCUUUGGGUUGGUCACUGUCAGGUCAUCACCCACAAUCUGGAUCCCCACGUUGGCUGUGAACUUGGACCAGGCAGCCCAGUCGUCCUGGUCAAAGGGGUCCUCGAUGGAGACCACUGUUGGGAGAGCGAUGAGGAAGCUCUGAGUCAGGCAGGAACACCCUGCUUAGAUUCCCUGAAUGGACAGAUCAGACCCCCCGGCCAACUCAGCCUCCUCACCCCUGCUUCCCCUGAAAUAAGCCUGCCCUCACUGCUUCUUGAUUCUUCCAUAAAACCUUUCAAAAAACAAGAGUUUAGAAACUUUCUCACAACCUAUCUUUGUAUUUUCCCAUUUUCUACCAGGAAGCCCUUCCUCGUUGCUAUUCUAAAAACUUCAUUCUGCAAUUUAUGUCUAUUUUCUCUCGCUCUGUCUCAGGAACCGGAAACCAACUGCCUCCAUCCAGGGGUAAAAGCCACUGGGGGACCUAGAGAGGGUGAUUCAGCACCUCCUCAUCCACGUCACGUGCAGCUCCAUUCAGCAUCCAGUUUUCUUUGUUGUUGUUUUGUUUUGUUUUGUUUUUUGCCACACUGGUGGCUUAUGGGAUCUUAGUUCCCUGACCAGGGAUUGAACCCGUGCCCUCGGCAGUGAAAGCGCAGAGUCCUAACCACUGGACCGCCAGGGAAUUUCCCAGCAUCCAGUUUUAUCAACCAGAGAUCCUGAACUGUGCUAGUUCCAGUCACCCUCUCACCAUGCCUGGUUCCUCCCAAACCCGCCCCCUGAUCCCAGCAGCUUCAGAGAUCAUGACUUUAAUCAGGGUCCAAAGCAGAUGGAACAGAUUCACCACAUGUACCUGCACAUUUGCACGACAUCCAAAGCCCAGCCUCUGCAGGAGGCUCCUUCACCCCAUCCCUGGUUCUCAGGUUCUUCUCAGGACAUCUCUCCCUGGCACCCGGGUCAGCACCCCCCCGUAAGGUCCAGAGUUGUCCCCAACACAUCCCUGCCUGCCCCCUGCCCUCCCCCUGCCACAGCCCUUGCUCUCACCAGGAUAGUCCCUGACAAAGUCCUGGUAGAGGGCCCCCAGCUGGUCCCCAGUGAUGUAUCGGGAAGGAUUAGCGGGAGACUUGAAGUCCAAGUCGUAUUUGCCAUCACGAUAAAACUCCGAGGCGGCGACAUCCAUGCCAAUGACGAUCUUUUCUGUGUAGCCAGCCUUGUCAAUGGCUUCCUUCACCAGCUCCAAGGCUGGGGAUGGAAUACAAUGGGCGAGGAGGAGUGAGAGAAAGAAAGAAAUUCAGAACAGAAGUGGAGGGCUGUUGCUAGGGAGAGGUCUGGUUAAGCUUGUUGUGGGGUUAUUCCCAGGUGUGCGACGAGCAGCCCACCUUUUAGAAAGGCAGAGGAAUGGAAUUGUGUUAAUAAUAGUUUUUUUUUGUUUCUGUUUUGGCCGCACCGCACGGUGUGUGGGAUCUUGGUUCCCCGACCAGGGAUCGAACCGCAGCCCCUGCAUUGGAAGCGUGGACUCUUAACCACUGGACCACCAGGGAAGUCCCAUAGUUUUGUUUUUUUGUUUGUUUGUUUUGUUUUAAAUAGCUAUAAUUUAUUGAGGGUUUAACUAUGUCACCUAAGCACUUACACAUAUGAUCUCAUUUAAUCCUCACCAUGAUGCUAAGAGGUAGAUACUGUUGUUAUUCCCAUUUUACAGACGAGAAAGACAAGCACAGAGAAGUUAAGUGAGCAAGAUCACCAGCCAGUAACUCUUCAAGUCAAGGUUCAAAUCCAGGCAAUGUGGCCCCAGAAAGUUAACUCUUAGCCACUACCUGCCUGUAGAGUUUCUCUUCACUAUAAGGUUUCUACCAGGGCAGAGAAAGACUAGAAAUCCUAGAAGUCUAAGAGGUUGGGGUGGGAGUGGGAUAGAUUUGGAGUGGAUUCCCUGGAGUAUGGUGUAUCUCAUCAAACUGAGGAUCCAUCGGAGUUAAAGGUGGGGAUGGAUCCCACAGGUCACCUAGACCAUCUCCCAGCAUCCCCAGGGGCUCCAGUGGGAACUUGCAGAUGCUAGCAGAUCUGGCUGGGUGGAUAAAGAAUGUCCCCUUAGGCCUGCCUGGGAAUUUGUUAGGCCCUCUGGCACCCACUCCGAGGACUGGAACCUCUUGGAAUUAGCUCAGGGACCCUCACGCAGCCUCCUCGGGACUUGGUGAAAUGUGUGGCCCUUCCUGAUGUCCCGGGAUGGAGUGAGGCUCAGAGCUAGGAGUGGGGCUCCUGGCCUCACCUUCACUGUUCUCCAGGAUAUUGGGGGCAAAGCCACCUUCGUCUCCCACGUUGGUGGCAUCCUUGCCAUACUUGUCCUUGAUGACACCCUUGAGUGUGUGAUAGACCUCCGCCCCGAGUCGCAUGGCAUCCCGAAAGCUCUCGGCGCCCACUGGGAGGAUCAUAAACUCCUGCAUGGCCAGCUUGUUCCCAGCAUGGGAGCCCCCAUUGAUCACGUUGAAGGCCUGGGAGCCACAGGAGGAAAGAAAAGUCACAGAGCACUUCCCUCUCCGCCCCUGGGAGUGUCAACCCAAAAUCCCAAACUUCCUCCAGCUUCCUGGACUCAGAGUCCCCCGUCCCCAUCCUUUCUCUUUAGCUGCGCCCCAUCAGUUUCCUCCCAUCGGUCCUCAGGAGGCUUCAGACUCCCUCCCCACCCACCCCUGGGAGGGGCAGGUCUAGUCUCACCGGCACAGGCAGGAUGAGGUCUGAGUUCCCGGCCAGCUGAGCAAUGUGGCGGUAGAGGGGCAAUUCCUGCUCGGCCGCCCCUGCCUUACACACGGCCAGGGACACACCCAGGAUGGCAUUGGCCCCAAACUUGGCUGGGAGAUUACAGAGGAAGACACUGAGCAAACACGUCCCCUUCCCCUUCCAGGCCUCGCCUCCACCUAUACUCCCCAAAAGGAGCCGGUAAAGGAGACCCCCCCCUCCUCCCUCUGCACUCCUGCAACACCUCAUGCAUCCUCUCCUGAAAAUAGUGGGGGGCGUCAAGGGGAGGUGAUUGGAAAGGGCAGAGAGCGGCACUAUUGCUAAACAUCCCUGAGACCACAGACUAUCUGCCACCAACUCCCCCCUCCUUAUGCUGCAAAGUUCUCCCUUCUGUCUAAUGUCACUCCCUCCCACUGGCGUUAAACUCAUGGUUUCUUGGAGGGCUACUCCUCCUCGGGUCAUCCUUCUCUUUUUUUUUUUUUUUUGGCCACACCUCGUGGCAUGCAGGAUCUGACCAGGGAUCGUACCCGUGCCCCCUGCAGCGGAAGCUCAUGCACAGAGUCCUAACCACUGGACCUCCAGGGAAGUCCCAGGUCAUCCUUGCUAAGAAGCCCCCCACAGCGCUGGCCCCUCAGUUCUCCAUCUGCUCCAGAGACCCUGUGAGCAGAGCCUCCAUCACCCAAAGCCAGGAUAAAGGCUGGACCCUAAGCCAGAGGGCCUCCUACAUCCACACACAGGCUCACAUCUAGCCAGGGUCCAACCAGGUUCCUGCAACAGCGGCCUGUCUGGAUUAGAGGACCUGAAGCUCCAUGGGAGCAGGGGGCAUCCUUCCCCGCUCCAGGGCCUCAUAGAUACCAGUGGAGGCUCCACUGGGCACCGCAGCCCGGAAAAGCCCUGGGAGGGGAACGUGGAAUGAGGAUGGAGAGAGACGACACCACAGGGACCAGGGAUUCUUCAGCCUUCCAGCUCUACGCCCCUGCAGCCGCAUCCAGCCUUCUUCCCACAGCGCUCCUUAACAACCCCCCGCCCCCCGACCCGGACACACGCACGGAGGCGGAUGCACAAGCAGUGGCCUCCUCAUCCACCCAACUGAGGUCCCACAGGCGCAAGUGGGAACCCACAGAAAUGAAGCUAUGCAGGCAGCACACAUGGUGCACGCACACACACGCACACACGGUGAACACAGAGGGCAGAGGCAGGGUGUAUCACACACUAAACCAGCACACAGAGAUCGGCCUAUCCUGGCUCCCUGGGACAAGGAGGACCCACCCCGCCCCGCUCCAGGCUCGUUAGCCUGGCCCAGCACCCCAUCCCCACUGGGAGUCCCCAGGGAGCCUCCCAUGCCAGGCGAGGGCAAAGCCAGCAUGGGGGCUGUGGGAAGGCCCUGCCCACUACCUUUGGCAGUGUAGAGAUCCACCUCCACCGUGGGAUUCCCACGGGAGUCCAGGAUCUCCCGGGCCCAGAUCUUCUCUAUGGACAUGAUGGCUGGGAUCUCCUUGGGUGGAAGGAAAGGAAGGAGAAAGUGGAAACACUGUAACCGGAGUGGGCGAUGCGGGAGAGGAGUGGGAGAGGGGCGUCUAGAGGAAGUCUGCGGAUGCCGAGGAAGGGUGAGAAAGACAUUUCCCCGAUGCAAAGCCAAAGGACGUGCCAGGGUAAAAAUGCAUAGCCCGGGGAGACCGCGAAACCUUAUCAUCGACAGAACCGGAGGCGAAAAGGGGCAUGGGGAGGGGGCAGACAGGGUGGAGAAAGGCGCAGUUAGACACAGGUGCG